CGUAACAAGGUUUCCGUAGGUGAACCUGCGGAAGGAUCAUUAGUGAAUAAAUAGGGUGUCCAAUUUAACUUGGAACCCGACCUUCUCACAUCUAACCCUGUGCAUCUGUAUUUAAUGGCGAGCAAUUUUCGGAUUGUGAGCCAUUUCACUUUAUAAACACUAGUCUAUGAAUGUAAAAUUUUUAUAACAAAUAAAAACUUUCAACAACGGAUCUCUUGGCUCUCGCAUCGAUGAAGAACGCAGCGAAAUGCGAUACGUAAUGUGAAUUGCAGAAUUCAGUGAAUCAUCGAAUCUUUGAACGCAUCUUGCGCUCUCUGGUAUUCCGGAGAGCAUGUCUGUUUGAGUGUCAUGAAUUCUUCAACCCAACUGUUUCUUGUAAACAGCUGGUGUUUGGAUUCUGAGCGCUGCUGGCUUCGUGCCUAGCUCGUUCGUAAUACAUCAGCAUCCCUAAUACAAGUUUGGAUUGACUUGGCGUAAUAGACUAUUCGCUAAGGAUUCAAUGUUCGCAUUGAGCCAACUUAAUUAAGGAAGCUUCUAAUUGAAAAGUCUACCUUUAGAUUAGAUCUCAAAUCAGGCAGGACUACCCGCUGAACUUAAGCAUA
rnacentral:rRNA from 1 species